CUCGCCCUAAUCCUGGCUGGACUUCCAGCUGCCAGUACCUCACUUCUUUGCCUAAGAGCUGUCUGUCUCCACCUGAGCCCACUUUGUUCACAUGUUUCGCUGCCCAGAAAUACCCGGGAAUUAGUACCCCGGAGUAGCCCUCUGCAGACGACUGCAUAGAUACCGCAGCUCAUUCCUCACUCAGGUGGAAUAACCCUGAGACACAUGUUCUAAAUUAUUUCCCAGAGUUCCCCGGGGAUUAGAUUCCAGUUGUCCAGAAUGGUAACUGUCUCCAUAAUGCCCCCCUAUUUCUCCUGCCCUUCCGUUCCAUUUCCCCACUCCCCUACAGGGGUCUCCUGAGAUCACCUUCCAAAUAAACUAUACUUGAAUUCUUGGGCUUGACUGUGUCCAGCCUUUGGAAACAGACAGGCCUGGGUUCCACGCCUGUCACUGGCGCUCACUAGCUGUGCAGCUUUGGGCAAAUUCUCCCAAGGCUCUAAGCCUCCACUUCUUCAUGUAUAUAAUAGGGAUGAUAAUACCUAUAUUGCAAUGUUAUUCUGAGAAUGAAAUUACGUGCAACAAUGUACAUAAAUCACUAGCACAUGGCACCAAAAGUGGGCGCUGUCCUUUGGUUUUUAGUAAUAGCGACAGCAACAGAAGCAGUAACAAUAGUGAGCAGUAAAGCUUAGAGCAGACUUCCUCCAACUUUAAUGUGCACUGGAAUCUCCUGGGAUCUUGUUAAACGCAGGUUCUGAUUCAGUCUGGGGCAGAGCCUGAGAUCCUGCUUUUCUAACAAGCUCCCAAGCCAUACCAACGCUGCUGGUCCUCAGACCACACUAUGAGUAGCAAGAAGUUAGAAUACCACCCUCUGUGAGGCAAGGAAUAAGGAAGAUAAAUCAUCUGAAUAAGGACUCACUCUAGGGCCAGUCUUCAAGCAGGUAGGCAUUCCUUCAAGUCUUUCCACUUCUGCUACCAAAUUCUGUUCCACUUACCCAUUUCUGCAUAACAAACUGCCUCAAAACUCAGUGGCUUAGAACAACCAUUUCAUCAUCUCUCACAGUUUGGGUCUGUAAUUUGGGCAGGGCUCAGCUGGGUGAUUCGUCUGUUCCACGUGGUGUUAAGGUAAGUAAUCCAAGGGUAUUUAACGAGCAGCUGGGCUUGUCUGAAGGGUCCACAACUGCUUCACUACCAAGUCUUACACCUUGGCAGGGAUGACCGGAAGGGUGGACUCAGCAGGAGUUGUUGACCAGAACCCUUAUGAGAGGACUCUCCAGGACGAUGGUCUCUGAGUGGUCACCUCUUGCUUGGCAAUGCGAAGUGGCCACAGUGGACACUUCAAGGCUUGGCAGUUCAGGGUUCCAGAGCAAGUAUUGCAGUGAACCAAGAAGAAACUGCCAGGUCUUAUAUCACCUAGCCUUGGAAGUCACACAGCAUCAUUUCUGUCAUACUCUAUUUUUCAAAGCAGCCGUAAGUCCACCCAGAUUCAAGGAAAGUGGACACGACCCCAUGUCUCAAUGAAUUUGCAGCUGUGUUUUAAAACUGCCACAGCUAUCCCUCUGGCCACAAAUGCUACCACGCCUCUCACAUGAAAAAUAUACUCAUUCCUUCCCCGGACUGUCCACUAUGGCGUCAGGCUCUGGCUUAGGCUCAGGCUGGAAGUACAGGAUCCGAUCAUCAAAAUCAGGUCCUUAUCAGGUGUUUCCUAGAGGCAACUCAUUGAUAAACCUUCCAUCUUGUUUCUGUGAGCUCAGUUAAACAUCAGGAACUAAUCU
rnacentral:lncRNA from 1 species